UGGGGAGUACGCACGCAAGUGUGAAACUCAAAGGAAUUGACGGGGGCCCGCACAAGCGGUGGAGGAUGUGGUUUAAUUCGAUGCAACGCGAAGAACCUUACCAAGGCUUGACAUCCUGCGAAUCCUUCAGAGAUGGAGGAGUGCCUUCGGGAGCGCAGAGACAGGUGGUGCAUGGCUGUCGUCAGCUCGUGUCGUGAGAUGUUGGGUUAAGUCCCGCAACGAGCGCAACCCUCGUUCUUAGUUGCCAGCAUUAAGUUGGGCACUCUGGGGAGACUGCCGUGGACAACACGGAGGAAGGUGGGGACGACGUCAAGUCAUCAUGCCCCUUACGCCCUGGGCUACACACGUCCUACAAUGGCCGGAUAUAGAGGGCAGCGAAGCCGCGAGGUGGAGCGAAUCCCAGAAAGCCGGUCUCAGUUCGGAUUGCAGGCUGCAACUCGCCUGCAUGAAGUCGGAAUCGCUAGUAAACGCAGAUCAGCAUGCUGCGUUGAAUACGUUCCCGGGCCUUGUACACACCGCCCGUCACACCACGAAAGUUUGUUCAACCCGAAGUCGGUGAGCUAACCUCUUAUGAGGAGGCAGCUGCCUAAGGUGGGGCAAAU
rnacentral:rRNA from 1 species